rnacentral:rRNA from 1 species
CACUCUAGAGAGACUGCCAGGGAUAACCUGGAGGAAGGUGGGGAUGACGUCAAAUCAUCAUGCCCCUUAUGCUUAGGGCUACACACGUGCUACAAUGGGUAGUACAGAGGGUUGCCAAGCCGUAAGGCGGAGCUAAUCCCUUAAAGCUACUCUCAGUUCGGAUUGUAGGCUGAAACUCGCCUACAUGAAGCUGGAGGUACUAGUAAUCGCAGAUCAGAAUGCUGCGGUGAAUGCGUUCCCGGGUCUUGUACACACCGCCCGUCACACCACGGGAGUUGGAGACGCCCGAAGCCGAUUAUCUAACCUUUUGGAAGAAGUCGUCGAAGGUGGAAUUAAUAACUGGGGUGAAGUCGUAACAAGGUAGCCGUAUCGGAAGGUGCGGCUGGAUCACCUCCUUUCUAAGGAGA